GGCUGGUCCAAAAGUAGUGAGAUAUCUCAAUUGAUUGUUCACAGUCAGUUACAGAUGGAAAUCCUUGUCUAUAUUUUUCCCCCUUCUCACUACUCCAUUUGACUAAAAA
ensembl:Y_RNA Y_RNA Y RNA